AUACUUACCUGGAUGGGGUCGAUGGGCGAUCAGUAAGGCCCAUGGCCUGGAUCAGUGGCCCACAUUGCACUUUUGGUGGGUGCGCUGGUCUACCAUCUCCCCAAGUGGGAGAGUGGACGUCGUAAUUUGUGGUAGAGGGGGUACGCGUUCGCGCGGCCCCUG
rnacentral:snRNA from 1 species